AAUAUAUUUUUUGUUGUUGGAAUUGUCAUAUAAAGUUUCUCAAACCUAGUUGGCGCCACAGGAAAAUUUGGAUUCCGCCGCCUUCGUGAUCAACUCGAAAGUGUCUUAACCUGUUUUUUCAGUACCUUGGAC